rnacentral:rRNA from 1 species
AGUGAACGCUGGCGGUAGGCCUAACACAUGCAAGUCGAGCGGCAGCACAGUAAGAGCUUGCUCUUACGGGUGGCGAGUGGCGGACGGGUGAGGAAUACAUCGGAAUCUACUUUUUCGUGGGGGAUAACGUAGGGAAACUUACGCUAAUACCGCAUACGACCUACGGGUGAAAGCAGGGGAUCUUCGGACCUUGCGCGAUUGAAUGAGCCGAUGUCGGAUUAGCUAGUUGGCGGGUAAAGGCCCACCAAGGCGACGAUCCGUAGCUGGUCUGAGAGGAUGAUCAGCCACACUGGAACUGAGACACGGUCCAGACUCCUACGGGAGGCAGCAGUGGGGAAUAUUGGACAAUGGGCGCAAGCCUGAUCCAGCCAUACCGCGUGGGUGAAGAAGGCCUUCGGGUUGUAAAGCCCUUUUGUUGGGAAAGAAAAGCAGCAGGUUAAUACCCCGCUGUUCUGACGGUACCCAAAGAAUAAGCACCGGCUAACUUCGUG